ACGUCAAGUCCUCAUGGCCCUUACGUCCAGGGCUACACACGUGCUACAAUGGUCGGUACAGAGGGAAGCGAAAGCGCGAGCUGGAGCGAAUCCCCAAAAGCCGUCUCAGUUCGGAUCGCAGGCUGCAACCCGCCUGCGUGAAGUCGGAAUUGCUAGUAAUCGCGAAUCAGCAUGUCGCGGUGAAUACGUUCCCGGGUCUU
rnacentral:rRNA from 1 species